UCCAGUUUGCCACUUCACUUAAGACCUAUGCAUGCUUGACUUUACAUAUUUCUUCUUCCACUUUUGUGUUUCCUUAUUUAUUUCUUGAUCCAUCGUCUGAUGAUGAAAGUUCAGAUGGAUCAAGAGAAGACUCACCAGCGUUGGGCCAUUGCAACAGUAUCCUAGACCAUAUACAAACUAGAUGAUCUUAUUUUCUUCUUUUACUUAUUUUAUUGAUCUUCUGAUUCAGGUCCCGAAGAAAGAGAAACUGCUAACUGGAGCAAUGACAAAUCUAAGCCAUGCUUUAGCUCAGCUAAAAGGAACUCUAAUCUUAAGGGCAAUAAACGUGUCGCGUUGAGUCCUACAUUGUUUUUUUUCCAAAGAGAUACAUAAAAUUGAUUCCUUCCAGCAAUUUUCAGAGACGGAGAAAGAUGAAGGCUUGGGAAGGUCUCUUGUAGAUAUAACUGAUGUUACGUUUCUACCUUGUAGCUUCUCUCCUGUCUUGAUUUGAUUACUCACAAUGUCGCUGGGCUGUUGCAUUGUUUGCUCUGCUCUUCAAAACUUUGAGAAAAAAACUGAAAUCUGCAACUAAAAGGAAGUCAUCAGAAGUUAUAGCAUCAGUCUCCGAGGAGAUACAUCUAGAGUUGGAGAAUGUCAAUUUCCGCCAUCAUCUGGAAGAUUUCCAUAGUAGUAUUGAAGAACUUGAAGCAAACCAUUAAGAGUUGAAAGGAACCAUAAAGAAGCAAAGUAUGUCCACUUUAAUAAUAUUUGCUCUUUACUGUAAGGAAUCUUAACAUUGGAACUGCUAUGAAACCUAUCAAGGUUAGAUUUUUUUUUGGCAAGAAACUUUUGAUAUUCCAGGAGGACAAAUCUUGCCUAAACUCUCUUGUUUACGGGAACAUCACACCAAAAACUCAUGGCACAUUUUGAAGGAGGCAUCGAGACAAAGCUGGACAAUGCAACAAAACGAAUCACUUAUGUCAACGAGUCUGCAAGAGAAAAAAUGGGGGCAGCUGAAGAUGAUUGUGGCAGAAUGUUUAAGGAUGGUGUGUUAGAUUGAGACCCUACUCUCAUAAAAGAAAUCACACGUAAGAAUAUUGGAGGGAGCAAACAGAACCAAAACAAACUAAUAUCAACUAUACGUUUCUAUUUGUUUACAUGUAUUUUCAUACAUAAUAUCGGUAUGGAAAGUAAAACCAAACUGAACAAUUUGCUCAAACAAAGAAAAUAUUGGUAAUAUAAUUCAGUAACCAUCGAA